GACGAACGCUGGCGGCGUGCUUAACACAUGCAAGUCGAACGGAAAGGCCCUGCUUUUGUGGGGUGCUCGAGUGGCGAACGGGUGAGUAACACGUGAGUAACCUGCCCUUGACUUUGGGAUAACUUCAGGAAACUGGGGCUAAUACCGGAUAGGAGCUCCUGCUUCAUGGUGGGGGUUGGAAAGUUUCGGCGGUUGGGGAUGGACUCGCGGCUUAUCAGCUUGUUGGUGGGGUAGUGGCUUACCAAGGCUUUGACGGGUAGCCGGCCUGAGAGGGUGACCGGCCACAUUGGGACUGAGAUACGGCCCAGACUCCUACGGGAGGCAGCAGUGGGGAAUAUUGCACAAUGGGCUGAAGCCUGAUGCAGCAACGCCGCGUGCGGGAUGACGGCCUUCGGGUUGUAUUCCGCUUUCGCCUGUGACGAAGCGUGAGUGACGGUAAUGGGUAAAGAAGCACCGGCUAACUACGUG
rnacentral:rRNA from 1 species